rnacentral:rRNA from 1 species
UGAAAUUUUAAAAAGUUUCGAUAUGGUGAACAGCUGGGACGGACAUCUAGCGAGUUCUAUAAACUCCAAACCAUUGCGAAUAUUACCGUCUUUAGAAGUGUUGUUUCGGCGAUUAGUUGGCGGGUUCGCCCGCUGACGUGCCCAGCCUGGCCAGCUGAGCGACCGCCGGCAGCACCAAACUCUUAGUUAUUUUAUAGCGGAGCUUUUAACUCUUUUUCUGAGUUUGUCUUGAAAAAAUUUAAGCAAAACUUUCAAACAACGGAUCUCUUGGUUCUGGCAUCGAUGAAGAACGCAGCGAAAAUGCGAUAAGUAAUGUGAAUUGCAGAAUUCAGUGAAUCAUCGAAUCUUUGAACGCACAUUGCACCUAGUGGUAUUCCGCUAGGUAUGCCUGUUCGAGCGUCAUUUCGACCCCUCAGUUCCUGUUUGCUCAGAGACUGGUGUUGGGGACCUGCGGGCUCCGUUCGGGAGCAUGCAGGCCCUGAAAUAUAGUGGCGUGCGCGCUGCAGUGCUCUUUGCGUAGUGGUUUACUUUCUCGCACCGAGCCGUGGCGUGGCAUUUGCCUACCUUUUUUAAAAUUUCAGAAGCUUGACCUCGAAUCAGGUAGGGUUACCCGCUGAACUUAAGCAUAUCAAUAAGCGGAGGAAAAGAAACCACAGGGAUUGCCUUAGUAACGGCGAGUGAAGCGGCACAGCUCAAAUUUUGAAAUUCUGGCGUUUUCGACGUCCGAGUUGUAAUUUGCAGAGGAUGCUUUUGGCGACGUGCCUUCCGAGUUCCCUGGAACGGGACGCCAUAGAGGGUGAGAGCCCCGUACGGUCUGGUGCCGAGCCGCUGUAAAGCUCCUUCGACGAGUCGAGUAGUUUGGGAAUGCUGCUCUAAAUGGGAGGGUAAACUCCCUUCUAAAGCUAAAUAUUGGCCAAGAGACCGAUAGCGCACAAGUAGAGUGAUCGAAAGAUGAAAAGCACUUUGAAAAGAGAGUUAAAUAGCACGUGAAAAUUGUUGAAAGGGAAGCGCUUAUGAACCAGACUUGGGCUUGGGUAGUUUCAGCCGUCCUUCUGGGCGGUGCAUUCUGGCCGGUUCAGGCCAGCAUCAGUUGCCGGUUGGGGAGAAAGAUACGCGGGAAUCGUGGCUGUUCGGAUGUGUUAUAGCCCACUAUUAUGCCCUCUCGGCGACUGAGGUAAGCGUUCUUCCCGAUGCGGGAUACGGUUUCCCCCCCUCAAAAAAGGAAAAAAA